rnacentral:rRNA from 1 species
GUUGUUGGGUAGGGGAGCGUUCUGUAAGCCGUUGAAGGUGUGCUGUGAGGCAUGCUGGAGGUAUCAGAAGUGCGAAUGCUGACAUAAGUAACGAUAAAGCGGGUGAAAAGCCCGCUCGCCGGAAGACCAAGGGUUCCUGUCCAACGUUAAUCGGGGCAGGGUGAGUCGACCCCUAAGGCGAGGCCGAAAGGCGUAGUCGAUGGGAAACAGGUUAAUAUUCCUGUACUUGGUGUUACUGCGAAGGGGGGACGGAGAAGGCUAUGUUAGCCGGGCGACGGUUGUCCCGGUUUAAGCAUGUAGGCGGAGGUUCCAGGUAAAUCCGGUACCUUAUUAACGCUGAGGUGUGAUGACGAGGCACUACGGUGCUGAAGUAACAAAUGCCCUGCUUCCAGGAAAAGCCUCUAAGCAUCAGGUAACAUCAAAUCGUACCCCAAACCGACACAGGUGGUCAGGUAGAGAAUACCAAGGCGCUUGAGAGAACUCGGGUGAAGGAACUAGGCAAAAUGGUGCCGUAACUUCGGGAGAAGGCACGCUGGUGUGUAGGUGAAGUCCCUGCGGACGGAGCUGAAACCAGUCGAAGAUACCAGCUGGCUGCAACUGUUUAUUAAAAACACAGCACUGUGCAAACACGAAAGUGGACGUAUACGGUGUGACGCCUGCCCGGUGCCGGAAGGUUAAUUGAUGGGGUUAGCGGCAACGCGAAGCUCUUGAUCGAAGCCCCGGUAAACGGCGGCCGUAACUAUAACGGUCCUAAGGUAGCGAAAUUCCUUGUCGGGUAAGUUCCGACCUGCACGAAUGGCGUAAUGAUGGCCAGGCUGUCUCCACCCGAGACUCAGUGAAAUUGAACUCGCUGUGAAGAUGCAGUGUACCCGCGGCAAGACGGAAAGACCCCGUGAACCUUUACUAUAGCUUGACACUGAACACUGGUCCUUGAUGUGUAGGAUAGGUGGGAGGCUUUGAAGCGUGGACGCCAGUCUGCGUGGAGCCAACCUUGAAAUACCACCCUUUAAUGGCUGGUGUUCUAACGUAGACCCGUAAUCCGGGUUGCGGACAGUGUCUGGUGGGUAGUUUGACUGGGGCGGUCUCCUCCUAAAGAGUAACGGAGGAGCACGAAGGUUAGCUAAUCCUGGUCGGACAUCAGGAGGUUAGUGCAAUGGCAUAAGCUAGCUUGACUGCGAGAGUGACGGCUCGAGCAGGUGCGAAAGCAGGUCAUAGUGAUCCGGUGGUUCUGAAUGGAAGGGCCAUCGCUCAACGGAUAAAAGGUACUCCGGGGAUAACAGGCUGAUACCGCCCAAGAGUUCAUAUCGACGGCGGUGUUUGGCACCUCGAUGUCGGCUCAUCACAUCCUGGGGCUGAAGUAGGUCCCAAGGGUACGGCUGUUCGCCGUUUAAAGUGGUACGCGAGCUGGGUUUAGAACGUCGUGAGACAGUUCGGUCCCUAUCUGCCGUGGGCGCUGGAGAAUUGAGGGGGGCUGCUCCUAGUACGAGAGGACCGGAGUGGACGCAUCACUGGUGUUCGGGUUGUCAUGCCAAUGGCAUUGCCCGGUAGCUAAAUGCGGAAAAGAUAAGUGCUGAAAGCAUCUAAGCACGAAACUUGCCCCGAGAUGAGUUCUCCCUGACCCUUUAAGGGUCCUGAAGGAACGUUGAAGACUACGACGUUGAUAGGCUGGGUGUGUAAGUGCAGCGAUGUAUUGAGCUAACCAGUACUAAUGAACCGUGAGGCUUAACCUU